GUCCACGCCGUAAACGAUGAAUGUUAGCCGUCGGGCAGUUGACUGUUCGGUGGCGCAGCUAACGCAUUAAACAUUCCGCCUGGGGAGUACGGUCGCAAGAUUAAAACUCAAAGGAAUUGACGGGGCCGCACAAGCGGUGGAGCAUGUGGUUUAAUUCGAAGCAACGCGUAGAACCUUACCCAGCCCUUCGACAUCCCGACUCGCGGAGAGUGGAGACAUUCUCCUUCAGUUAGGCUGGAUCGGUGACAGGUGCUGCAUGGCUGUCGU
rnacentral:rRNA from 1 species